rfam:Bacillus sp. 1NLA3E, complete genome.
AAAUAUCACUAGGGGAUCCCUUGAUAAGGGCUGAGAAUAAAGUAGUUACUUUUAAACCCUCAAAACCUGAACAGGUUCGUACCUGCGUAGGGAAGUGGCGCAUUGUAAUU